rnacentral:lncRNA from 1 species
GGGGGCGACGUAACAACGAUUUGCACACAACAAAUGGAGAAGGUUUUACAUAAAGCAUGCAGCGGCUUUUUGGUACAACUUGAGCAGCAAACUAAGGGAGAGCCAACAAAAUUUGAAGAUCCAAAUCUACUUCCUUUGCUUGCUGAAUUUUCAGAUAUAUUUGACGAACCGCACAACCUACCUCUUACUCGUCGGUAUGAUCAUUGUAUAACG